rnacentral:rRNA from 1 species
UACGCAGGGGGCUAGCGUUGUUCGGAAUUACUGGGCGUAAAGCGCACGUAGGCGGGUUUGUAAGUAGGGGGUGAAAUCCCAGGGCUCAACCCUGGAACUGCCUUCUAAACUGCAAGCCUGGAGGUCAGGAGAGGCGAGUGGAAUACCGAGUGUAGAGGUGAAAUUCGUAGAUAUUCGGUGGAACACCAGUGGCGAAGGCGACUCGCUGGACUGAUACUGACGCUGAGGUGCGAAAGCGUGGGGAGCAAACAGG